rnacentral:tRNA from 1 species
AAGUUAGUGGCAGAGUAAAUGUGUAAAAUUGUAAAUUUUAUUAUGGUGGGGGACACUCUAACUUA